rnacentral:rRNA from 1 species
UGGGGGAUAUUGCACAAUGGGCGAAAGCCUGAUGCAGCGACGCCGCGUGGGGGAUGAAGGCCUUCGGGUUGUAAACUUCUUUUGCUCUGAACAAGGCAUGCCUUUGGGGUGUGUUGAGUGUAGGGGUUGAUUAGCGCCGGCUAACUACGUGCCAGCAGCCGCGGUAAUACGUAGGGCGCGAGCGUUGUCCGGAAUUAUUGGGCGUAAAGGGCUUGUAGGUGGCUGGUUGCGUCUGUCGUGAAAGCUCAUGGCUUAACUGUGGGUUUGCGGUGGGUACGGGCUGGCUUGAGUGCAGUAGGGGAGGCUGGAAUUCCGGGUGUAGCGGUGGAAUGCGCAGAUAUCAGGAGGAAUACCGGUGGCGAAGGCGGGUCUCUGGGCUGUUACUGACGCUGAGGAGCGAAAGCGUGGGGAGCGAACAGG